UGUUCUCACCCUUCUGGAGGCCUAGGACC
rnacentral:piRNA from 1 species